GAAAGCCCAGGCGGCGGGGGAUGGGGUCGCGGCCCAUUAGGUAGUAGGCGGGGUAGAGGCCCACCUAGCCGACGAUGGGUAGCCGGACUGAGAGGUCGACCGGCCACAUUGGGACUGAGAUACGGCCCAGACUCCUACGGGAGGCAGCAGUGGGGAAUUUUGCGCAAUGGGGGAAACCCUGACGCAGCAACGCCGCGUGCGGGACGAAGGCCCUCGGGCUGUAAACCGCUUUCAGCAGGGAAGACAUCGACGGUACCUGCAGAAGAAGCUCCGGCUAACUACGUGCCAGCAGCCGCGGUAAUACGUAGGGGGCGAGCGUUAUCCGGAUUCAUUGGGCGUAAAGCGCGCGUAGGCGGCCGCCUAAGCGGAACCUCUAACCCCGGGGCUCAACCUCGGGCCGGGUUCCGGACUGGGCGGCUCGAGUGCGGUAGAGGAGAGCGGAAUUCCCGGUGUAGCGGUGGAAUGCGCAGAUAUCGGGAAGAACACCGAUGGCGAAGGCAGCUCUCUGGGCCGUCACUGACGCUGAGGCGCGAAAGCUGGGGGAGCGAACAGGAUUAGAUACCCUGGUAGUCCCAGCCGUAAACGAUGGACGCUAGGUGUGGGGGGACCUGCCCUCC
rnacentral:rRNA from 1 species